rnacentral:rRNA from 1 species
CGUAGGGUGCGAGCGUUGUCCGGAAUUAUUGGGCGUAAAGAGCUCGUAGGCGGUUUGUCGCGUCUAUCGUGAAAACUGGAGGCUUAACUUUCAGCGUGCGGUGGAUACGGGCAGACUUGAGUUCGGUAGGGGAGACUGGAAUUCCUGGUGUAGCGGUGAAAUGCGCAGAUAUCAGGAGGAACACCGGUGGCGAAGGCGGGUCUCUGGGCCGAUACUGACGCUGAGGAGCGAAAGCGUGGGGAGCGAACAGGAUUAGAUACCCUGGUAGUCCACGCUGUAAACGGUUGGGCGCUAGGUGGUGGGGAGUCUUUUUGUUUCCGUGCCGUAGCUAACGCAUUAAGCCGCCCCGCCUGGGGGUACGGCCGCAAGGCUA